rnacentral:rRNA from 1 species
GGAAUAUUUCGCAAUGGGCGAAAGCCUGGCGCAGCGACGCCGCGUGGGGGAUGAAGGUCUUCGGAUUGUAAACCCCUUUCGGGAGGGAAGAUGGGAUGGGGUAACCCAUUCGGACGGUACCUCCAGCAGCAGCCACGGCUAGCUUCGUUACCGCAGCCGCGGUAAUACGAAGGUGGCAAGCGUUGUUCGGAUUUACGGGGCGUACAGGGAGCGUAGGCGGUUGGGUAAGCCCUCCGUGAAAUCUCCAGGCUUAACCUGGAAAGUGCAGAGGGGACUGCUCAGCUAGAGGAUGGGAGAGGAGCGCGGAAUUCCCGGUGUAGCGGUGAAAUGCGUAGAGAUCGGGAGGAAGGCCGGUGGCGAAGGCGGCGCUCUGGAACAUUUCUGACGCUGAGGCUCGAAAGCGUGGGGAGCAAA